GGGGGGGGGGGGGCGGGAAAUAAGGCCUGGCUCUGGUUGCUUCCGGGCCUGGAUCGUCUCCACCUUUAAGACGAGGAUGUCAUUUGCCAUUUCCUGCCCGCCCAUGCCAGAGUUAGGGUGAAGUCUUGACGUUAAUGAACACACUUUUCAAACAAGUCAGGCAACGGUGCAUCGUACAUACAAGGGCAAUCUGAGGCCUGAUUUAUUUUUUCAAAGGGGUCAUCUUAAAAGCUGAUGGAUCCCACUUCACUUGCACCAAAAGUUCUAGGCGAGUCUGCAAUUUUUCGGCACAGUAAACAACUUUAGGCCCUUUGGUUUCUGCUGCUUCUACCCCUCUAAAAUUAAAAAAAAAAAAAAAAGAAAAAGGUAAAAAUAGGAGUGUCUUCUAUGGAAGCUUUUUCAGUUCUGGAGGAGGAAGUACAGAAACAAACUGACACCCACUCCCGAUAAUACUGGGGUUAUGUCAAACUUGGUUCCAGCACCAGCAAAAUAGAGAAUAUGUUUCCAGAGAGAGGACUCACGUUCUCCAAACACAUUUCCACGGCUACAUCGCAGAGCUCUAAUGCCCCUUCUGGUGGCUGCUUGUAUGAAAUAAAGCCCUGUCUGGGGGCACCUGAGUGCUCAGUGGGUUAAGCAGCCCACUCUUGAUUUCGGGGCAGGUCUGGAUCUCAUGGUUCAGAAGGCAAGGAGGGCAGCAGCCCCUGACCUGACUCUGGUGUUAAUGACUAUUCAGUAAAGCUGGAAGAUGGGAGCUCAUUCAGGGUGAUUCCAUUUGGGGAACGUGUGACUUCUCCUCAAGAGAUUCACAUGAACCCUGUCUCUCCAUGCCUCAUAAAAGGUAUUCUGAUCUCGCCAGAAGGGUGGACAGAGGCAGAUGCGUGGCCAUUAAACAAAGAUGGAGAGAAAAAGAGGAAGCACCGAUGACCAAAUUGUGCUGGGUUAACCAUAUUCCUGUUGUGAAACGCACGAACUGCUGAAGCAGGAAAUCGGAUAGAAAUCGUGUAUUUGGACCCGGAAGCUGUAUGUAUCCGGAUUCUUUCAGUUGUAAGUGGCAGAACUCCAUU